rnacentral:rRNA from 1 species
AGAGGCCGAAACGCUCUUCGAGCGCUGAAGGAUGAGGCUGCGCCCGAUUAGGUAGACGGUGGGGUAACGGCCCACCGUGCCCAUAAUCGGUACGGGUCGUGAGAGCGAGAGCCCGGAGACGGAAUCUGAGACAAGGUUCCGGGCCCUACGGGGCGCAGCAGGCGCGAAACCUUUACACUGCACGCCAGUGCGAUAAGGGGACUCCAAGUGCGAGGGCAUAUCGUCCUCGCUAUCCUGUACUGUAGGGUAGUACAGUAUCAAGAGCUGGGCAAGACCGGUGCCAGCCGCCGCGGUAAUACCGGCAGCUCAAGUGAUGGCCACUCUUAUUGGGCCUAAAGCGUCCGUAGCUGGCCGCGCAAGUCCGUCGGGAAAUCCACUGGCCCAACCAGUGGGCGUCCGGCGGAAACUGUGCGGCUUGGGACCGGAAGGCUCGAGAGGUACGUCCGGGGUAGGAGUGAAAUCCCGUAAUCCCGAACGGACCACCGAUGGCGAAAGCAUCUCGAGAAAACGGAUCCGACAGUGAGGGACGAAAGCUAGGGUCUCGAACCGGAUUAGAUACCCGGGUAGUCCUAGCCGUAAACGAUGUUCGCUAGGUGUGGCACUGGCUACGAGCCAGUGCUGCGCCGUAGGGAAGCCGAGAAGCGAACCGCCUGGGAAGUACGUCUGCAAGGAUGAAACUUAAAGGAAUUGGCGGGGGAGCACUACAACCGGAGGAGCCUGCGGUUUAAUUGGACUCAACGCCGGACAUCUCACCAGCCCCGACUACAGUAAUGACGGUCAGGUUGAUGACCUCAUCACGAGCUGUAGAGAGGAGGUGCAUGGCCGCCGUCAGCUCGUACCGUGAGGCGUCCUGUUAAGUCAGGCAACGAGCGAGACCCGCACUCCUAAUUGCCAGCAGCAGUCUCGACUGGCUGGGUACAUUAGGAGGACUGCCAGUGCCAAACUGGAGGAAGGAACGGGCAACGGUAGGUCAGUAUGCCCCGAAUGGGCUGGGAUACACGCGGCC